rnacentral:rRNA from 1 species
CGGGUGAGUAACACGUGGGUAACCUGCCCCGAUGAUUGGGACAACCCGAGGAAACUCGGGCUAAUACCAGAUGUGCCCUCCGGCCUCAAGGCCGCUGGGGAAAGGAAGCUUCGGCCUCCGCAUCGGGAUGGGCCCGCGGCCCAUUAGCUUGUUGGUGAGGUAACGGCUCACCAAGGCAACGAUGGGUAGCUGGUCUGAGAGGACGAUCAGCCACACUGGGACUGAGACACGGCCCAG